CUCAAAGCAAGGACAAGGAAGAGAGUUGAGAAGGCAGGACUGCAGGAGGGACAAAGACUUCAAAAACCUGUCCCCAAGGAAGGAGAGACAGAAAGAUCUUC